rnacentral:rRNA from 1 species
AAAUUGAAGAGUUUGAUCAUGGCUCAGAUUGAACGCUGGCGGCAGGCCUAACACAUGCAAGUCGAACGGUAACAGGAAACAGCUUGCUGUUUCGCUGACGAGUGGCGGACGGGUGAGUAAUGUCUGGGAAACUGCCUGAUGGAGGGGGAUAACUACUGGAAACGGUAGCUAAUACCGCAUAACGUCGAAAGACCAAAGAGGGGGACCUUCGGGCCUCUUGCCAUCGGAUGUGCCCAGAUGGGAUUAGCUUGUUGGUGGGGUAA